rnacentral:rRNA from 1 species
AGAAGUUUGAUCCUGGCGUCAGGAUGAAACGCUGGCGGCGUGCUUAACACGUGCAAGUCGAACGGACCCAUAUUGAAACCUAGUGAUAGUAUGGGGUUAGUGGCGGACGGGUGAGUAACGCGUGGGUAACCUGCCUUACACAGGGGGAUAACACUUAGAAAUAGGUGCUAAAACCGCAUAAGCGCACAGCUUCGCAUGAAGCGGUGUGAAAAACUCCGGUGGUGUAAGAUGGACCCGCGUCUGAUUAGCUUGUUGGCGGGGUAACGGCCCACCAAGGCGACGAUCAGUAGCCGGCCUGAGAGGGCGGACGGCCAUAUUGGGACUGAGACACGGCCCAGACUCCUACGGGAGGCAGCAGUGGGGAAUAUUGCACAAUGGGGGAAACCCUGAUGCAGCGACGCCGCGUGAGUGAAGAAGUAAUUCGUUACGUAAAGCUCUAUCAGCAGGGAAGAAAAUGACGGUACCUGAGUAAGAAGCCCCGGCUAACUACGUG